rnacentral:rRNA from 1 species
GUGAGGAAUAUUGCGCAAUGGAGGCAACUCUGACGCAGCCAUGCCGCGUGCAGGAAGAAGGCGCUACGCGUUGUAAACUGCUUUUAACCGGGAAGAAACCCCAGGACGUGUCCUGGGUUGACGGUACCGGAGGAAUAAGCACCGGCUAACUUCGUGCCAGCAGCCGUGGUAAUACGAAGGGUGCAAGCGUUAUCCGGAUUCAUUGGGUUUAAAGGGUGCGUAGGCGGAGCGUUAAGUCAGUGGUGAAAUCCUGCAGCUUAACUGUAGACUUGCCAUUGAUACUGGCGCUCUUGAGUGCGCUUGAAGUGGGCGGAAUGUGCCGUGUAGCGGUGAAAUGCUUAGAUAUGGCACAGAACACCAAUUGCGAAGGCAGCUCACUAAGGCGAUACUGACGCUGAGGCACGAAAGCGUGGGGAUCGAACAGGAUUAGAAACCCGAGUAGUCC